CGCACCCAUAAGCUGGCUCUCGGUUUUUCCGGACGACAACCACCUCUUUGAACUAAUGGACGUCAGGUUUGACAACGUCUUAUAAAAGAAGUCGGAAAGGUUUGGGAACUACGUGGUUCCUCCUGUGAAACUACGAUGACCGACGAGUUUGCCCGCUCCGUUGGGUCCUCUGGGACUACGGUGACCGGCACGUUGAACAUGGCGAGCCCGUGACGAAGACGCGAUGACGACGUAUCACUAGUACGAUGACUGCCUUUCCCGUGGUUCAACGAAGAAGCGCACCUAAGACGUCACCGAUGGGUUCCGCCACACGUGAAAGUAAUUAUUGACUACAUAAACUAUACGUGCCACAACGACUUUAACUAUGCGGACGUAAACUCAACUCUCUUUGGGAAAGCCCUUUCAUGCUGGAACGACAAGUCUAGGUUAACAUUUCGAUCGUGUCAAAAAAAAGCUUGGACUUCCACCGUAGGUCUCUUUUGAUGAAAGUCUUGUUGAUUAGUAAAGAGAGCAAAAAUCUAAUGAAUUAGCUCAAGUCGGAGGUUGAAUAAAGUAAGUACAGAAGACAUGACUACUCCGAAACUUAAACCUACGACAUUCUUUCAAGCCUAAUCCAUUAAUCAA
rnacentral:rRNA from 1 species